GACGAACGCUGGCGGCGUGCUUAACACAUGCAAGUCGAACGGAAAGGCCCUGCUUUUGUGGGGUGCUCGAGUCGCGAACGGGUGAGUAACACGUGAGUAACCUGCCCUUGACUUUGGGAUAACUUCAGGAAACUGGGGCUAAUGCCGGAUAGGAGCUCCUGCUGCAUGGUGGGGGUUGGAAAGUUUCGGCCGGUGGGGAUGGACUCGGGGGUUAUGAGCUUGUUGGUUGGGUAGUUGCUUACCAAGGCUUUGACGGGUAGCCGGCAUGAGAGGGUGAACGGCGACAUGGGGACUGAGAUACGGCCCAGACGGCUACGGGAGGCAGCAGUGGGGAAUAUUGCACAAUGGGCGGAAGCCUGAUGCAGCAGCGCCGCGUGCGGGAUGCCGGCCUUCGGGUUGUAAACCGCUUUCGCCUGUGACGAAGCGUGAGUGACGGUAAUGGGUAAAGAAGCACCGGCUAACUACGUG
rnacentral:rRNA from 1 species